rnacentral:tRNA from 1 species
GCGACUGUAGCUUAGCUGGAUAGAGCACUUGGCUACGAACCAAGAGGUCGGGGAUUCGAAUUCCUCCAGUCGCACCA